rnacentral:tRNA from 18 species
GCCGGUGUAGCUCAGUGGUAGAGCAACCGCCUUGUAAGCGGUAGGUCGUCGGUUCGAUCCCGACCUCCGGCUCCA